UACGUAGGCAGCGAGCGUUGUUCGGAGUUACUGGGCGUAAAGGGUGUGUAGGCGGUUGUUUAAGUUUGGUGUGAAAUCUCCCGGCUCAACUGGGAGGGUGCGCCGGAAACUGAGGGACUUCGAGUGCGGGAAGGGAGAGUGGAAUUCCUGGUGUAGCGGUGAAAUGCGUAGAUAUCAGGAGGAACACCGGUGGUGUAAACGGCUCUCUGGACCGUAACUGACGCUGAGGCACGAAAGCGUGGGUAGCAAACAGG
rnacentral:rRNA from 1 species